AAGCUGCGAUACGUAAUGUGAAUUGCAGAAAUCAGUGAAUCAUCGAGUCUUUGAACGCACCUUGCGCUCCUUGGUAUUCCUUGGAGCAUGCCUGUUUGAGUAUCAUGAAAUCUUCAAAGUAAAUCUUUUGUUAACUCAAUUGGUUUCUACUUUGGUAUUGGAGGUCUUUGCAGCUUCACACCUGCUCCUCUUUGUUCAUUAGCUGGAUCUCAGUGUUAUGCUUGGUUCCACUCGGCGUGAUAAGUUAUCUAUCGCUGAGGACACUGUAAAAGGUGGCCAAGGUAAAUGCAGAUGAACCGCUUCUAAUAGUCCAUUGACUUGGACAAUACUUUUAUGAUCUGAUCUCAAAUCAGGUAGGACUACCCGCUGAACUUAAGC
rnacentral:misc_RNA from 1 species